CGAGAGAAUUGCUAGCUUGCUAAUAAUUCUCUAGUGGCGCACGGGUGAGUAACACGUGAGUAACCUGCCCCCGAGAGCGGGAUAGCCCUGGGAAACUGGGAUUAAUACCGCAUAGUAUCGAAAGAUUAAAGCAGCAAUGCGCUUGGGGAUGGGCUCGCGGCCUAUUAGUUAGUUGGUGAGGUAACGGCUCACCAAGGCGAUGACGGGUAGCCGGUCUGAGAGGAUGUCCGGCCACACUGGAACUGAGACACGGUCCAGACACCUACGGGUGGCAGCAGUCGAGAAUCAUUCACAAUGGGGGAAACCCUGAUGGUGCGACGCCGCGUGGGGGAAUGAAGGUCUUCGGAUUGUAAACCCCUGUCAUGUGGGAGCAAAUUAAAAAGAUAGUACCACAAGAGGAAGAGACGGCUAACUCUGUGCCAGCAGCCGCGGUAAUACAGAGGUCUCAAGCGUUGUUCGGAAUCACUGGGCGUAAAGCGUGCGUAGGCUGUUUCGUAAGUCGUGUGUGAAAGGCGCGGGCUCAACCCGCGGACGGCACAUGAUACUGCGAGACUAGAGUAAUGGAGGGGGAACCGGAAUUCUCGGUGUAGCAGUGAAAUGCGUAGAUAUCGAGAGGAACACUCGUGGCGAAGGCGGGUUCCUGGACAUUAACUGACGCUGAGGCACGAAGGCCAGGGGAGCGAAAGGGAUUAGAUACCCCUGUAGUCCUGGCAGUAAACGGUGCACGCUUGGUGUGCGGGGAAUCGACCCCCUGCGUGCCGGAGCUAACGCGUUAAGCGUGCCGCCUGGGGAGUACGGUCGCAAGAUUAAAACUCAAAGAAAUUGACGGGGACCCGCACAAGCGGUGGAGUAUGUGGCUUAAUUCGAUGCAACGCGAAGAACCUUACCUGGGCUUGACAUGUAAUGAACAACAUGUGAAAGCAUGCGACUCUUCGGAGGCGUUACACAGGUGCUGCAUGGCCGUCGUCAGCUCGUGUCGUGAGAUGUUUGGUUAAGUCCAGCAACGAGCGCAACCCCUGUUGCCAGUUACCAGCACGUGAAGGUGGGGACUCUGGCGAGACUGCCCAGAUCAACUGGGAGGAAGGUGGGGACGACGUCAGGUCAGUAUGGCCCUUAUGCCCAGGGCUGCACACGUACUACAAUGCCCAGUACAGAGGGGGCCGAAGCCGCGAGGCGGAGGAAAUCCUGAAAACUGGGCCCAGUUCGGACUGUAGGCUGCAACCCGCCUACACGAAGCCGGAAUCGCUAGUAAUGGCGCAUCAGCUACGGCGCCGUGAAUACGUUCCCGGGUCUUGUACACACCGCCCGUCACAUCAUGGAAGCCGGUCGCACCCGAAGUAUCUGAAGCCAACCGCAAGGAGGCAGG
rnacentral:rRNA from 1 species